ACACGACUACAUUAGAUACCCCUGUAGUCCUAGGCGUAAAUGAUGCGAGUUAAGUGUGGGGGCAUCUACGAGAUGGCCCUGUGCUGUAGGGUAGCCGUUAAACUCGCUGCCUGGGGAGUACGGUCGCAAGGCUGAAACUUAAAGGAAUUGGCGGGGGAGCACCACAACGGGUGGAGCUUGCGGUUUAAUUGGAUUCAACGCCGGAAAUCUUACCGGGACCGACAGCAAUAUGAAGGCCAGGCUGAAGACUUUGCCGGAUUAGCUG
rnacentral:rRNA from 1 species